rnacentral:lncRNA from 1 species
UUUUUUGAAGAUCAUGGAAAAAAUGAAAUAAAAAUUGAAAAAAACAUGAAAAUAAAAUGAAAUGAAGAAAUUGUGGAAACGCGCCCAGCCGGAAUCGAAGCGAGGGAAGGCUCGCUGAUGAAACGACGUCGUUUCAUUAGUGCCCUAGCCAAAACGCAGGAACGGACGCUAUGCUGACGCUAGGUGGACGCUAGUGGCGGAAACCACCGUCUUCUUCAUGAAGACGGUGGUUGUUACUGUUCACAACGAAAUUUUUUUCCAGAAUUUUAAAAUUC